rnacentral:rRNA from 1 species
GACGAACGCUGGCGGCGUGCUUAACACAUGCAAGUCGAACGGUGAAGGGACCGGUUUUUGCUGGUUCUGGAUGAGUGGCGAACGGGCGAGUAACACGUGAGUAACCUGCCCCCUUCUUCUGGAUAACCGCAUGAAAGUGUGGCUAAUACGGGAUAUUCUGCGCCUGCUGCAUGGUGGGUGUGGGAAAGAUAUUGUUUCGGUGGGGGAUGGGCUCGCGGCCUAUCAGCUUGUUGGUGGGGUGAUGGCCUACCAAGGCGGUGACGGGUAGCCGGCCUGAGAGGGUGGACGGUCACACUGGGACUGAGACACGGCCCAGACUCCUACGGGAGGCAGCAGUGGGGAAUAUUGCACAAUGGGCGCAAGCCUGAUGCAGCGACGCCGCGUGAGGGAUGGAGGCCUUCGGGUUGUAAACCUCUUUCGCCAGUGAAGCAGGCCUGUCCCUUUUGUGGGUGGGUUGACGGUAGCUGGAUAAGAAGCGCCGGCUAACUACGUG